rnacentral:misc_RNA from 1 species
AACGCACGAGACCUGCGGACCUGCGGAGGGAUCAUUACCGAGUGAGGGUUCCCUCGUGGGCCCAACCUCCCACCCGUGUCUAUCGUACCUCUGUUGCUUCGGCGCGGCCAAAGUGACCGCCGAAGACCCCUCUCGAACGCUGUCUUUUGAAGGAUUGCAGUCUGAGUUGAUUUGAAAAAUCAGUCAAAACUUUCAGCAACGGAUCUCU